GACGAACGCUGGCGGCGUGCUUAACACAUGCAAGUCGAGCGGUAAGGCCCCUUCGGGGGUACACGAGCGGCGAACGGGUGAGUAACACGUGAGUAACCUGCCCCUGACUCUGGGAUAAGCCUGGGAAACCGGGUCUAAUACCGGAUACGACCUGCCUCCGCAUGGGGGCGGGUGGAAAGGCGCCUCGUUUGGGGUUUCCGGUCGGGGAUGGGCUCGCGGCCUAUCAGCUUGUUGGUGGGGUAACGGCCUACCAAGGCGAUGACGGGUAGCCGGCCUGAGAGGGCGACCGGCCACACUGGGACUGAGACACGGCCCAGACUCCUGCGGGAGGCAGCAGUGGGGAAUAUUGCGCAAUGGGCGGAAGCCUGACGCAGCGACGCCGCGUGGGGGAUGAAGGCCUUCGGGUUGUAAAGCCCUUUUCUGGGUGACGAGGAAGGACGGUAGCCCAGGAAGAAGUCUCGGCUAACUACGUG
rnacentral:rRNA from 1 species